GACGAACGCUGGCGGUGUGCUUCACACAUGCAAGUCGAACGAGGUAGCAAUACCUAGUGGCGGACGGGUGAGUAACGCGUGGGAAUCUGCCUUUAGAUGGGGGAUAACGGGUCGAAAGACUCGCUAAUACCGCAUAUGACGAAAGUUGAAAGGAGUAAUCCGUCUAAAGAUGAGCCCGCGUCCGAUUAGCUAGUUGGUAGAGUAAAAGCCUACCAAGGCGACGAUCGGUAGCUGGUCUGAGAGGAUGAUCAGCCACAAUAGGGAACUGAGACACGGCCCCAGUACUCCUACGGAGGCAGCAGUGGGAUUUACGCAAUGGGCGAAAGCCUGACGUAGCGACACCGCGUGAGCG
rnacentral:rRNA from 1 species